rnacentral:rRNA from 1 species
GACGUAGGAUGCAAGCGUUGUCCGGAUUUAUUGGGCGUAAAGAGUUCGUAGGUGGUUCGUUAAGUCUGAUGUUAAAGACCGAGGCUCAACUUCGGGACUGCAUUGGAUACUGGCGGACUUGAGUGUGGUAGAGGCAAUCGGAAUUCCAGGUGUAGCGGUGAAAUGCGUAGAUAUCUGGAAGAACACCGGUGGCGAAGGCGGGUCUCUGGGCCGAUACUGACGCUGAGGAGCGAAAGCGUGGGGAGCGAACAGG